CACCUAAUUUCUGCUUUGGGGAAUAAAGGGGAUGUAGCAGCAUGGCCACUACACCUUUAAUAAAGGAACCACCAUUUAAUAAUGUUGAUAAUCAGAGUUGGACAAGUCUAGUGAAUUGCUUUGUUCUUGGUUGAGCGUUUAUUUUGGGGUGGGCUGAGUUUCUUAUCCCAUUUGUUUUACUUCAGUUGGGUCAUAAUUAGGUUUUACCACUUUUGCAUUACAGUUUCUACUAUGUGAAUUAUAUGUCUUUAUAUCUUGUAUGAGCUUCAUGUUUCCCCUCCUUGUUAUGCUAGUUUUCAAAGGAGGUGCUGCCGGAUUUUUUCUUGCUUUAUAUUCUUUCUUUAUUACAUCUCUUGUGUUGAGUAAGUUUAGUGGAUGAGAUUUAUGGUAUUAUCCAUUCUGUGCGACCAGUGGGGUGUUACAUAGUCAGCUGAAGUUGCAUGGUGCUUCUGUUCCAGAAAGAGCUUCGUCUCUGGCACGUUGGAAUCCGGUGCUGCUUCAACAGCGUGUUUCUGACUUAGAGGCGGCGAAUGCUGAAAUGGCUCGGCAGUUUUCUGUUCUUGAAGAGAAACAUUCUCAGAAUCAGGCUGAAUUGGUCCGGCGGUGCUCUGAUUUUGAAGAAAAGUAUUCCCAAAGUCAGACUAAGCUGGCCCAAGUUUCUGUUGCUCUGAACGAUGCCAACAUGUUGAACUCUACUCUCCGCGCUCAGCUUGAUUCUGAAAAGGAAGAAAAAUGUGCCCUUGUUGCUUCUCGUGACAAUCUUGACAAGCUAUAUCGAGACUCCAGCAACUCGUUGACCAUCCUGGAGAGGAGUCAUCGCUUUACCAUGGAGGAGUUAGACAAUCAUCGUUGUAAGUUGCAGGAAUCCACGAACGACGUGAUCCGUCUUAGGCAGUUGAUAUCGGCUAAAGAUGCCGCUAUCAAGGAACUGCGUGCUUCCAAGAAGUCCAUCGCCCAGGAGCUAGAGACCGCCCAGCUGGCUGUCAAGGUUGCUGAAGAAACUUCCGGUACUCUGAGGGCCCAGCGUGACAGAGCCAUGGAUAAAGCCAUUCGCGCAGGGCGGAUCUUGAUGAGGAGGCCUGGUGUGACUGUUCCUGAUGACAUAAGGGCUGAUGUAAACGCUGCUCCCGAUUCCUCAAGUCGCCCUUCUUCGUCAGUCGCUCCUGAGAAGAAUGUUGCAAAAUAGAAAAACAUUGCGCGUUUUGAGCGCGCGGUUAUCGUGCUCAGAUAUUUCGUUAGAGGACACCUGCUUGAUAUUUGAAUGCUACUGUUAUGCCCCUGUUGUUUAGAAUUCGACAGUAUCACAUUUUGCAGAAGUAAAAUGCCGCGUAAUGACUUUGAGGUUUCUUUA